rnacentral:lncRNA from 1 species
CCGCGGGCUGCAAGGAGGGGAGGAGCCGCUGCGGACGGCACAGUCCCCAGGGGCCUCCCUGGGGUCUCCACCUUCUCCGGACUCCGUGGGGGUGCGCGUGGGAGGCCCGCACCGCCCUUCCGCAGACCCCGGGGGAAAGAGGAGCCAGGUUCGGCCAGAGGCCAGAGGCAGCAAAUGCCCCACAGGCCCGCUUGGAAAUGCUGGGCGCCCAGGUGAGGGCUGAGGGGCAAUGCGGUGUGUGGGAGGACAUUCUGCUCUCUAGUCAUCAGGACCAUAAUGCAGGAGCUGAGAAAGACGCCUCCCCAUCACAUAAGCUAGAGGUCGGAAAUCUUUUUCUGUGAAGUACCAGAGAGGAAAUAUUUGCCUUUGAGGGCAAUAGUGAGAGGUGAAGCCAGCUGGAUUUCCUGGGUGGAGAGGGGACUUGGAGAACUUUUCUGUCUAGCUAGAGGAUUGUAAACUCACCAAUCAGCACUCUGUGUCAAGCUGGAGGAUUGUAAAUGCACC